UCCGAGUUGACCCCGGCAGUCUCCCAUGAGUCCCCACCAUGACGUGCUGGCAACAUAGAACGAGGGUUGCGCUCGUUGCGGGACUUAACCCAACAUCUCACGACACGAGCUGACGACAGCCAUGCACCACCUGUACACGAGUAUCAAAGAGACCCACAUCUCUGCAGGCUUCCCGUGUAUGUCAAACCCAGGUAAGGUUCUUCGCGUUGCAUCGAAUUAAAGAACAUGCUCCGCUGCUUGUGCGGGCCCCCGUCAAUUCUUUUGAGUUUUAGCCUUGCGGCCGUACUCCCCAGGCGGGACACUUAAUGCGUUAGCGUCGGCACGGGAGGAGUCGACACCUCCCACACCUAGUGCCCAUCGUUUACGGCGUGGACUAC
rnacentral:misc_RNA from 1 species